rnacentral:rRNA from 1 species
AGUUCGAUCCUGGCUCAGAUUGAACGCUGGCGGGAUCUUUACACAUGCAAGUCGAACGGCAGUACGGACUUCAGUCUGGUGGCGAGUGGCGAACGGGUGAGUAAUGUAUCGGAACGUGCCUAGUAGCGGGGAUAACUACACUUGGCAGCAACUAAUACAUACGCCCUUCGAAACAGGAGACCUUCAGACUCGCACUAUUAGAGCGGCCGAUAUCGGAUUAGCUAGUUGGUGGGGUAACGGCUCACAAGGCGACGUCCCAUAUGCGCUGGUUGAGAGGACGACCAGCCACACUGGGACUGAGACACAGCCCAGACUCCUACGGGAGGCAGCAGUGGGCUACACACCUUGGACCAAUGGGGAAACCUGAUCCAGCCAUCCCGCGUGUGCGAUGAAGGCCUUCGGGUUGUAAAGCACUUUUGGCAGAGAGCACGGAUAAUACCCCAUCCACAGCAAGCAACUGAUACCUGCAGAAUAAGCACCGGCUAACUACGUGCCAGCAGCGGUAAUACGUAGGGUGCAAGCGUUAAUCGGAAUUACUGGGCGUAAGCGUGCACAGAGCGGUUCGGAAAGAAAGAUGUGAAAUCCCAGAGCUUAACUUUGGAACUGCAUUUUUUUAACUACCGAGCUAGAGUGUGUCAGAGGGAGGUGGAAUUCCCGCGUGUAGCAGUGAAAUGCGUAGAUAUGCGGAGGAGGAACACCGAUGGCGAAGGCAGCCUCCUGGGAUAACACUGACGCUCAUGCAGCGUGGGAGCAAACGGGAUUAGAUACCCUGGUAGUCCGCCCUAAACGAUGUCAACUAGCUGUUGGGGCCUUCGGGCCUUGGUAGCGCAACUAACGCGUGAGAUUGAGCGCCUGGAAAUACGGUCGCAGAUUAAAACUCAAAGGAAUUGACGGGGACCCGCACAAGCGGUGGAUGAUGUGGAUUAAUUCGAUGCAACGCGAAAAACCUUACCUACCCUUGACAUGUCUGGAAUCCCGAAGAGAUUUGGGAGUACUCGCAAGAGAACCGGAACACAGGUGUACACCAUGGCUGUCGUCCAGCUCGUGUCGUGAGAUGUUGGGUUAAGUCCCGCAACGAGCGCAACCCUUAAUCAUAGUUGCUACGAAAGGACACUCUAAUGAGACUGCCGGUGACAAACCGGAGGAAGGUGAGGAUGACGUCAGGGCCUCAUGGCCCUUAUGGGUAGGGCUUCACACGUCAUACAAUGGUCGGAGGGUCGCCAACCCGCGAGGGGAGCCAAUCCCAGAAACCCGAUCGUAGUCCGGAUCGCAGUCUGCAACUCGACUGCGUGAAGUCCCGGAAUCACUUCGUAAAUCGCGGAUCAGCAUGUCGCGGUGAAUACGUUCCCGGGUCUUGUACACACCGCCCGUCACACCAUGGGAGUGGGUUUUACCAUCGUUAUUCGCCGUAAAGGAGGGCGAUUACCACGGUAGGACUGACUGGGGUGAAGUCGUAACAAGG